rnacentral:rRNA from 1 species
GGGUGCGAUCAUACCAGCACUGAUGCACCGGAUCCCAUAAAAACUCCGAAGUUAAACGUGCUUGGGCAAGAGUAGUACUAAGAUGGGUGACCUCUUGGGAAUUCCUCGUGUUGCACCCC